rnacentral:rRNA from 1 species
GGCCAGGGCGGCAGCUACACAUGCAGUCGAGCGAGAACUUCGGUUCUAGCGGCGGACGGGUUAGUAACGCGUGGGAACGUGCCCUUCACUACGGAAUAGUCCCGGGAAACUGGGUUUAAUACCGUAUACGCCCUUCGGGGGAAAGAAUUUCGGUGAAGGAUCGGCCCGCGUUAGAUUAGAUAGUUGGUGGGGUAACGGCCUACCAAGUCUACGAUCUAUAGCUGGUUUUAGAGGAUGAUCAGCAACACUGGGACUGAGACACGGCCCAGACUCCUACGGGAGGCAGCAGUGGGGAAUCUUAGACAAUGGGCGCAAGCCUGAUCUAGCCAUGCCGCGUGAGUGAUGAAGGCCUUAGGGUCGUAAAGCUCUUUCGCCAGGGAUGAUAAUGACAGUACCUGGUAAAGAAACCCCGGCUAACUCCGUGCCAGCAGCCGCGGUAAUACGGAGGGGGUUAGCGUUGUUCGGAAUUACUGGGCGUAAAGCGCGCGUAGGCGGAUUGGAAAGUUGGGGGUGAAAUCCCAGGGCUCAACCCUGGAACUGCCUCCAAAACUAUCAGUCUAGAGUUCGAGAGAGGUGAGUGGAACUCCGAGUGUAGAGGUGAAAUUCGUAGAUAUUCGGAAGAACACCAGUGGCGAAGGCGGCUCACUGGCUCGAUACUGACGCUGAGGUGCGAAAGUGUGGGGAGCAAACAGGAUUAGAUACCCUGGUAG